UACCAGCACCCCGAGUGGUCGGGACGUUUAUUGGGCCUAAAGCAUCCGUAGCCGGUUCUACAAGUCUUCCGUUAAAUCCAGCUGCUUAACAGAUGGGCUGCGGAAGAUACUAUGGAGCUAGGAGGCGGGAGAGGCAAGCGGUACUCGAUGGGUAGGGGUAAAAUCCGUUGAUCCUUUGAAGACCACCAGUGGCGAAGGCGGCUUGCCAGAACGCGCUCGACGGUGAGGGAUGAAAGCUGGGGGAGCAAACCGG
rnacentral:rRNA from 1 species